rnacentral:lncRNA from 1 species
GUGAGUUGUGUGAUAUGUUUACUAGUCUAGUGUAACUCACCCAUUCAUUAACUAUUUCAGAUUAAGGGGAUGAAAAUCUAGAUCCCGAUUAAUAAAGGGUUUUGAAUAAUUCAUCACCGAGACUCUUUCAAAAACUAGUGAAAGUCAUCUUAUAAUGCUUAAUUAUUUACUUUUUGUUUAUUUCUUUAAUUUUUAUUUAUUC